rnacentral:lncRNA from 1 species
GAGUUAUUCAAUAUCACUUUUGUAUUUACCUGUGUGUCUAAUCAACAUUCCAACAAUAAAAAGACCCACAUUCCAACCCCCGAUACUAUCCAUAUUUAUUGAUUACAUAACAAUCUAAUUAUACGUAAUUAACCUCAAUGGCAGAAAUAGAAAAUGGGACAUUUGACCUACAUCAUAGCGUGGGCAUAAAUACCAUACCUGCGGCACAACUAUACACACAUCCAUCUUCUAGUAAGCCCCGCAGAGAUAGCAUAACGUGAUAAUUUUUUCUAUCAGCACCACAAAAUUUUCUUUUUUUUUUAUUCUUGUUGAAUCCCCUUCAUCAAGACUGCUUCGCGAGUGCUGCUUUUGCGGAAGCAUGGGCAUAAACGCCGUACCUGCGGCACACGUUGCCAUACACGCAUCCAUCUGCUGGUAAGCCACGCAGAGAUAGCAUGACGUGAUCAUUUUUGCUGCCAGCACCACAA